GAUGAACGCUGGCGGCGUGCCUAAUACAUGCAAGUCGAGCGAACAGACGAGGAGCUUGCUCCUCUGACGUUAGCGGCGGACGGGUGAGUAACACGUGGAUAACCUACCUAUAAGACUGGGAUAACUUCGGGAAACCGGAGCUAAUACCGGAUAAUAUAUUGAACCGCAUGGUUCAAUAGUGAAAGACGGUUUUGCUGUCACUUAUAGAUGGAUCCGCGCCGCAUUAGCUAGUUGGUAAGGUAACGGCUUACCAAGGCAACGAUGCGUAGCCGACCUGAGAGGGUGAUCGGCCACACUGGAACUGAGACACGGUCCAGACUCCUACGGGAGGCAGCAGUAGGGAAUCUUCCGCAAUGGGCGCAAGCCUGACGGAGCAACGCCGCGUGAGUGAUGAAGGUCUUCGGAUCGUAAAACUCUGUUAUUAGGGAAGAACAAAUGUGUAAGUAACUCUGCACGUCUUGACGGUACCUAAUCAGAAAGCCACGGCUAACUACGUG
rnacentral:rRNA from 1 species